UGGUGGGGCUGGAUUAGUGAUCGGCUCUUACCGUAUUAAAACACUCAUUUUUUGGAGUUAUUUAUGUCACUAAGCAACCAAGAAAAAGCAGAUAUCAUCGCAAAAUUCGCACGCGCUGAA
rfam:Pseudoalteromonas ruthenica strain S3137 contig0004, whole genome shotgun sequence.